GGGAGAGGGAAUGGCAACUAUCCAAACCACUUCUAUGAGGGAGAAGACUGAAGUCAGAGGAAGAUGUCACCAAAUCUGAAUAAAGAGGUGGAAACAGUCUCAGGUGACGUCAACUCAUGGCGACCCUGUGAAAGAGACAUCUCCAAGAAU